CCGCCACCGCCGCGCGCUCAACCCGGAGUAAAUGAGUUGGCCUCGUCCAAUGGGAGCCCGACGGCGAGGGGGUGAUUUGCAUGGCGGCAAGGCAAGGAGGAGGGACGUCCGGAGUGUGUGUUCAGGAUUAUCAACGCUACAGCAUCCCUUCAUGUGAUGCUCUACAAAACUUCACCAGUCCCCAGAGGCCUACUCCCAGGUGCCAAACCCUUGUUCCAGUUUGCACAUGAUACCUGAGUUUGGGAGAACCAGGAGGAGGGCUAUCUGCCCACUGGAGGUCUGGCAAUGUGGUACAUCACCAUCCAUCAUUCCAGUUGGCUGGAACUGAUAGAGGUUGUAGUCCAAAACAUUUGAAGAGUAUCAAGUAGGGAAGGCUGUCGGUAAAUGCAGACAGAAAAUGGUAAACGACCUCAUUAUUCCGUCUAAAACUCUUUCCUUUGAGCAACUGUUUUGGAUAUUAAAUGUUGUUUUAAGUUAUUAAGUAAUCACUUAAAAUUGUUUAACUAAUAGUUAUGAGACAUUACUCUAGGAAAUUCUUUGAUAUAAUCCUACAAAAUCAAUAGGAUCGGAUCACCCAAGUGUAAGUAGUAAUGAACUGGGCCCAGCCUAGUACAGUUUGGGUAGCAAUUUCCACUCAAUAAACUGGGAUUUAUUUCAAACUGUUCAUGCGUAUUGAGAGCUAGCGUGGUGCAGUGGUUUGAUAGUCGGACAAUGACUCUGGAGACCAGGGUUCAAA